AUCGUAGAGCACGCCCAUAAUCUACAAACCAACACACACGGCCUAAUGCAGGUACAUUUCUGCCACAUGAAGAACACAUCAUUAGCAAUGCUGGAAACAUGAUUCUUAUUGCAUGUUUUUGUCUGUAAAGCAGCCUUCAGGGUCUCAGCCAUCAAAACCAGUUUCAAGAUUCAAGGCACAGAGAAAAUAGCCAGUUAGGGUCUAUGUACAAUUUUGUUUGUGGUAUUCCUUCUGAUGAUAUGUAACAAGUAAGAACACAUACAUAUGUGUGUGCAUUUAUAUACAGUUAAGUAGGCAAAUCUACAUCAGGAAAUCUGAUACUUGACUCCGUCUGAAAAUGCUUGAAGUAGCUUCUCUUUGACUAUACCCAUCUACUAAACUCCAAUGACUCCAUGCCUUUAAACCCAGCUAGCAUCUUGUAACAACGAAAAUUUAAAACUGACUUCCUGUUUUGGUUUUAUUACAUGGAAUAAGAAAGAGAAGUACAAAUAAGAAAUAACCUUAAAACUUACAAGUUAUUUACAAUACAAUGCCAUUGAAGUAGAUAAUAAACUUAACUUUAAUCAAUCAUUCUUUGGAUUUUCCUAAUUUAAUACACAUUUCCUAAAUUAAAGCACAACAAAUUCAGUAGGUUGCAAUAACUAUCGCAUAACACCCAUUAAAAUUUUAAAUUUCUGUGUGACAAUCAGAACAUCAAUAUACAAUACUAAAAGGGGGAUACAAGCCAUGGAGAGGGAUGCCACGUGAGAUUGAAAAAUCACCCAAUCAGAAGCAAGUUUUUAUACACGUCAGAUAGACUUAACCGUCUGGGCUUCGUGAUUCUGCUUAAGCCCAAUUCUAUGCAAUCCACUUCCUUCUCCAUGUGGGUUAAGAGCAUCCGCGUAAGCGUCUCUCAUUUUUGUGGGACCCGCAGGUUCAUUAAUCUCGACCUUUCUUAUUUGUUCUGUGCACAAUGAAGCCGAUAAGUCGCCUUCUCUUUCUCUUCCGUUUAGAUCUAAGAUUUCUCCAUCAUAGCUACAAAACUCACACCCACAUACAUUAACUUUUCGUCUUCUACAAUUAAAUGGAUGCAAUGUUUAUCUUCUUCUAUCUCCUCAUCUCCCAGAUACUCAGACAAUCAAUUAUGGUUGCAUUUAAUAACCUAUGCGAAGUUCUCCCCUAUAUAUAUAUAUAUAUAUAUAUAUAUAUAUAUAUUCAUAUGACACACUGGAUCAGUGUAUCUCAUAUCAAGUCAAAGCUUUGUUGAACCAGCGCAGAUUUCAACCAAUCAUCAUCGACAAUGUCCUCCUCUGCUGCUACUGUUGCUCAAACAGCGUCUCCUCUUCAACCUUCGACGAUCUCUGCCUUGGUUUGACUUCUCAGGUGGUUGUUGGCCGGAUCCUCCGCUUUUGGGAUUCAAGGAACAUCAAGAAAAAUGUUGAAUUUGUAGGUAUCACCAUCUUCAUGAAAAGGUUUCAACAUUCUUCUCCUAACCUUUAAAGAUUUAUCGUUGUUUUUUUUAAAAAAAUUUCUGAAAAACGAAUAGAUAAUAAAGCUUUAAUUGGAUUUCAAUAAAGGGAUCUUUGACGGGUAUUUGCAUAUCGGAAAAAAAAAUAGCUAUUAACGGGUGUUUCUGCUUGGGUUUUAUUUAGGUGUAAAACCUCGACUGAUGGAGUCUAAAAUCGAGACGCUGAAUCUCACUCUGGUGAAUUUGUUUCAAAAACGAGCCGUGACGACGACUGAACAUGUGAAUCGUUUGGUAUCACCGGAUAGAGGCAGAUCAAAGAAUGCAGCUCGGCCAUCUACAUCUCAAGAGACUUGCGGUAGACUAGAUGUUAAAGGCAUGGACCUACAAAGAACUUCUUCUAGAGAACUAGGAAACUCAUUGCAGGUUGUGAUAGGUAUGUCAAUUUUCUCUUUACCAAGUAUGAAGGAAGUUGGUAUUUCCUUUGUUUUAAGUAUGGUAGAAGGUUCAUGGAUAUAUAAUAUAUAUAUGUCCUUUGUAGGUAUUGGUAAACACAACCGUACGGCACAAGUAAAUUUAAACGUUGUAAUUUGAAGAAAUACAAGUGUUUCAUGUGAAAACUAACAGUUUCUUACAUAUGUAAAAUUUAUUGGUUGGUUCAAAACUAUUUCUAAACACCGCAUAAUCAAAGGCUUCUAGGUUAGACUGUCCCAAUAGUCCCAGUAGAAGUUAUAAUAGUUGAGCUAUAUUUGCCACUAGCUGUAUGCUUUCAAAUUUAAAAUAAAAUACUAUCAAGUUUUGCA